UUGCCCAUUUCCAUGCUAUGGGAUGGAACAAUAUUUGGUUAAGUUGGUCCCCCAUAAUCAUCACAAUAUACAUCAAUAUUUUUGCUGCCAACUACGAAGCCUGUUGCACAAAUUCUCACCUUUAAAGAGGAAAAUGAAAACGAAAACCGAAACAGAAACAGAAAGAAAGAGCUUCAUUGCGAGGAGAGUGUUUGAUACAGGCAUGUUUACCAAAUUAUAAUAAGAGAAUCCUCAAGCUUGUUGAUGGGUUAGACCGGGCAUGGUUUCCAGAAUCCAAAAUGUAUACCGUGGAGUGUGGAUUGAAGCAAAGCAAUAUCAAGAAAAAGGUUCUAUUUUUCCCCUUUGUUUAUAGGCAACCGGGUGGAUCAUUACGGUGUCAAUGACUCAAUGAGGCCGAAGGCUACCGAAUAUCAUGUGCUCAUUUUGGACGAUGUGAAAAAGAAAAUUGCUUUCUUGUUCUUGUUUCGGCCACGCCAAGGCGACUCAGGUGAAACCCUAGUUCUUGUCAACAUGCCACGAACCAUUCAAGAUCUAUAAAAUAACUCAUAACGAACUAUAAACCGUUAACUUCCAGUCAACUGUUUCUAGACCUCACUAAAACGAUAUAAAAAGAAUCAUGACAAACCAUCAUCUCAUAAAUCUAGAGCCAAAAUGCAGAACAUAAAUUAUAAGAUUCCAAAGGAACUAAUUCUCAACAGUUAAAAUAGCUUACCAUUCCACGAUAUGAAAGGAGCUUACCACUCAUAAAUCUUGUUGACACACCUUAACCGUUCACAAGCAUUAGACUAAUCCUAGUAGAUGUUAAUACAUGUAAAGGAAACACUCUAUUUUGACUGAUAUUUGUAUACCAAACCCAACUGUCACAAAGAAAAUGUAACCCCCAUGCCACAGGAAUA